GACGAACGCUGGCGGCGUGCUUAACACAUGCAAGUCGAACGGAAAGGCCCUGCUUGCAGGGUACUCGAGUGGCGAACGGGUGAGUAACACGUGGGUGAUCUGCCCUGCACUUCGGGAUAAGCUUGGGAAACUGGGUCUAAUACCGGAUAGGAGCCAUCUUUAGUGUGGUGGUUGGAAAGUUUUUUCGGUGUAGGAUGAGCUCGCGGCCUAUCAGCUUGUUGGUGGGGUAAUGGCCUACCAAGGCGGCGACGGGUAGCCGGCCUGAGAGGGUGUACGGCCACAUUGGGACUGAGGUACGGCCCAGACUCCUACGGGAGGCAGCAGUGGGGAAUAUUGCACAAUGGGCGCAAGCCUGAUGCAGCGACGCCGCGUGGGGGAUGAAGGCCUUCGGGUUGUAAACUCCUUUCGCUAGGGACGAAGCUUUUUGUGACGGUACCUAGAGAAGAAGCACCGGCUAACUACGUG
rnacentral:rRNA from 1 species